CAUUGAUGAUAGUGAGGGAAAUUUCUAAGCAUACCCUUAAAUCUUUCCCAAGCUUGGUAAAGAGUUUCUCCUUCUUUCUCCCUAAAACUCAAAAUCUCGCUUCUUAGAUG
rfam:Capsicum annuum cultivar Zunla-1 chromosome 11, whole genome shotgun sequence